CAAUUAGAAGCUUUGAUAAAAAAAGAACGGUUGCUAAAGUGUUUGCAACUGGUGACCUAGUAUUAGUAGAGGAGACCCAAUGCGGUGGCGGUAAAUUGAAAGCUAAAUAUAAAGGACCAUUCGAAAUACUUAAAUGUUUACCGAAUGAAAGGUACGUACUGAAAAGGGUAAAUGGACAAAUGAGGACCACUGUUGCUGGUCAAGAUCAAAUGAGACUGUGGCCGCAUGAGAAGGCUCAGGCAGAUGCAGCUGACGUGUAAAAGAAAACAAAGAUGAGCGUAUAACAGAUCUGGUCAACAAACUACUCUAGACUGAGUGAGUUAGAGUAGAUGGUUGGAAACAAAAGAUGGUCCGAGGACGAACCAAGGGCAGGAAGGCCGUGUAAGGUUGCGUAUAUGACCAUGCACCAGCAACAUGCAGAACACCCUGUGGAUAUGGAGUCACAUCACUGAUGGGGGGUUUUUCUGUUUAUGUCAGCGACUUGCGUCGCUGGGCAUGCGUCUCCUAAGAAAUGACUCAGACUCGUGCUCCGGCAUUCGUUGUAAACUGUUCACAAUUAAGAUCCGAUCGCUCUGUAUUAUUGAAUAAAACUAGUAAAACCGAAACAA